CUCUCCCCUCCAGCGCGCCUCUCUCUCUCAAGCCGCCGCUGCCGCCACCGACCGCCUCGAACCAGCUCGUCCCACCUCCUCCUCUCCCUCUCUCGAUCUCCUCUGCCUCGCACGCCACCACCGCUCGCCCUCGCGCCGCCGCCUCCAUUCGCCCUCCUCUGCCUCGCACACCGCCACCGCUCGCCCUCGCGCCGCCGCCGUCUCCGUUGCCCAACCCACUGGAUCCCCACCAUCCACUUCUCCAGCGUCGUCGCCUCGUCAUCACGUGCACGCGGCAGGAGGAGCGAGGGAGAUGUGGAGCCGCCGCUAGGAACGCCACCUUCGUCCUCGCGUGCACAUGACAGGAGGAGCGGGGGAGGCGUGGAGCCGCGCCCUCCCCUGCCGCCGCCGCUGCCCGUUCCCUCGCCCUCCCCUGCCGUCUCCAUCGGCGACUUCAACUUCUCCCUUUCCCUGCCCAUGUCGCCGGCCUCUCCCUUGGUGGCGGCCAGAUCUACCAGGCGGCGGUGUAGGGGACGCAUCAUCCCCUCCAAGAGCCUCGGAAGGCAAAUGGGGAAGCUGCUGCAGGUUCUUAGACCUCCCCUUCCUCAUCCUGUCUCUGUAGGUGCAGCAGGUAGAUUGGCCAGAGGAGGUGGAUAUGGAGGAGCAGGCCAACACCCCUCCCUCUUCAUGCAUGGCUACCGGCCUGAGCAAUCUCCUUUUAAUUCACGGUCUCUUCCAGUUUCUCAAUUAUUCAUACAUUUGCAUCUAUGUUCCAGCCGCCCCCUUCUUCAUGGCUAGGAUUUGGGUGAAAGGAGGCCACAACAGGGGAGAAGUGGCCAGGGUCAUAACUCAUAACAUACACACCUGAAGGUUGUUCUCAAAUCGGACAUAGCCAUGCCAUUCACUCUCAAACCUCGGCUACGAAAUUAUUGGUAUAAUUCAUGCACAGGGAAUGUCUUUUGCAUGGCAGAAAGAGUUGUGGCAGGCAAAGAGGUCAUAAUUUCUGGAUCCGCGCCGCCAUCAAGCCGGGCCCCAACGGUCGCCUCCUUCUCUACAACCAGUGCCAGGCCCUUCGGUGCAUCGAUCCGGCACCAGGAACCAUGAGAAGCAGGCCCUUCUACCCCGCCGCCGGCGCCGCCUCCUCGCGAGAUCCCGACCAUGGUCCGCUGUAGAUGCUGUUUGUUCUGUUUGUCGAGGCUUUUGUCGGCCUGCUGUCUGCUGCCGUGUUGAGAGGUUGCAAGGUUCCUGGUUGCGCGGAGAUGAUCCAUGAUCUGGUGGUGGGAAGUGGCUCCAUAUUGGUGAUUGGACCUCCUGGUGUAGGCAAGACUACUCUGAUCAGCCAGAAGAUGGUGUUGUUAUCCACGAGGAUGUCUUAAAUGAUACGAGAGGUUCGGGAGGGUGUCAGAAAUGCUACUCAGAGAAAGCUCCUCAAUGAGCUGGGCAUCCCAGCUGAAGAUGUGCCCGUUGACCAGUUCAUUCCUGUCAGUCGGAUGCUUGACAGGGUGUCGGCUGUAGAGACAGAAGAGGAGGUUGAGGCAUCCUCGACGCCUGCUGCAGCGACCACGACCACAUGCAUCUAAAAGAGAGAUACUAUAGAUGCUUUGUGAGAGGAUGCUUCUACUGGAGACCAUGAUCCAGUCCAAUGAUUUAUCCGGCAAGGAGGAGAAGCAUUGUUGGGGUCCUCAUUGUCACCAAGGGGAUGCAACCUACAUCAAUCGUGUAGAGAUCCACUGAUGUGUCCGUGCCCAUGUUGUGCUUCACCGAGCUUCAGGAAAAAUAAUCUAUUUCUGGGAUUAGUCCUCAACAAGCAAGAAGAAGUGCCAUCACUGGUAUGAAACCCAUGCCAGGGGAAGGGAUUCCAUCACUGCCUUUUGAUCAGCAAGUGUAAUCUCCAGUGAUGAUCGUCCCUGUUCAGCAUUCAUCAACAGAAUGCCAUCUUCAGUGCCCCUCUCUAGGCCCUCACUCUGAAUUCUUUCGGUUUUAAUAGGUGCCCUCCCUCCAUGGACGAGGAGGACAUUGACCUAGACCUUGACGACGACGUCGUCCACCCCACACAAGGUCGUUGCCACGCAAUAAACUUCUUUUCUUCUUCCAUUCCAAGUUACCUCUGCUCUGUUUCUGCAAUAGACUCAUUGUUCACUAGCUAUAGAUCCCUAUGUUGUUGUUGGUGGUGGUUGGCGAGGUGACGCUGGAAGGCGCGGAGGCGUCGUCGACGAAAGAGAAAAAGAAGAGGACAUACCGUACAGCUGCCCACCACUGCUCACCUCGAUGGCUCGACCACCUCUGCUGUGCCGCAGACGACACAGGGGGAGGCCGAGGUGAUCAUCGACGGUGCUCACCCCGACCCCAUUGGGAUCUAGGGGAAGGGGCUAUGGCGGCAGCGGCACUGGGAGAGGCGGCGGCACUGGGAGAGGCAGCGGCGCUCGGAGAGGAGGCACCUACUUUAUUUCUACUUCUACUUUUCUUCUGCACCUAUAGUUUCAAUGCUUUAUCUGCUCGUGGAGCUAUGCUUCUGUUGCAUUGGGCUAAGGUUUGAUUGCUUGAAGGUGUAUGUCAAGGUGUAAGUGCAGACUCAUUGUUGAUGAUGAAUACUGUGGAGUAAGAAUGAUCUGGCUCAGCAAUUUUCUGGUUCAGGUCGUUGACAUAUUCGGGUUCUAGGUCACAUAAAUAAAAUUUAGAGUUAAUUGA